AGAGUUUGAUCCUGGCUCAGGAUGAACGCUAGCGGCAGGCCUAACACAUGCAAGUCGAGGGGCAGCACGAUUGAGCUUGCUUAAUUGGUGGCGACCGGCGCACGGGUGCGUAACGCGUAUGCAACCUACCUUAUACUGGGGUAUAGCCCGGAGAAAUUCGGAUUAAUCCCCCAUAGCAUUAUCGAUUCGCAUGUUUUGAUAAUUAAAGGUUACGGUAUAAGAUGGGCAUGCGUCCCAUUAGCUAGAUGGUGAGGUAACGGCUCACCAUGGCGACGAUGGGUAGGGGGCCUGAGAGGGUGGUCCCCCACACUGGUACUGAGACACGGACCAGACUCCUACGGGAGGCAGCAGUGAGGAAUAUUGGUCAAUGGGCGCAAGCCUGAACCAGCCAUGCCGCGUGCAGGAACACGGUCCUAUGGAUUGUAAACUGCUUUUAUUCGGGAAUAAACCUCUUUACGUGUAGAGAGCUGAAGGUACCGAAUGAAUAAGCACCGGCUA
rnacentral:rRNA from 1 species